CUUGCCUACACAAGUGCUUUUAACAGUUUGACCCAGACUCUGUCUACACAGCUCUAAAACCAUCCAGCGAGCUUGUCCAGAGUCAAAGAAUCAACUAUCUGCCUCACUAGUAAUUCUGUCCUCAGGACGGUUUUAUGGGGAUCCCACUGGAAAUGAUGGCAGACAUUCUGGGGCAAGAUAGGACUUUGGGGCUGCUCCACCACUUCUGCUUGGUGUAGUGGAAAGAGCGCUGGACCCAGGCAGACGUAAGUUCAAAUCCCGGCAAUGACCACCCACCAGCUGUCCAACCACAGACGAUGUGCUCCCAUUCUUCCAGUGUCCUUUUUUUGUACCUGUAAGAUGGGGAAUCAUUUCUACUACCUGUAAGAUGAGGAGAAAACGAAGCUGGAGAGGUUAAGGGAAUUGCUCAAAGUAACAGCUAGUAAACGGCAGAACUGAGACUUCAUUUAUUUUACAAACAUUAUUGAACACCUACUAUAUGCCAGUGCCUCAGGCAUAGGAAAGUGGAUAAGUCCUAAUUCUAGUUCUCGAAAUGUUCACAGUAGAGUGCCAGAGCCUGAAACGCAAAUAAUCAAUUACAGUCUAGUGUGAUGUGAAAAGCAAGACGUAUUUAGGGAAUGUCCUAAAGCCAGGGGUGAGCCCAGGUAUCGACACAGGAAGUGAGUCGUAAGAAGAGGACCCUUCAGAGGAAGCAGCCACGGAGUUCAAGCUGGAAUAUACAUCAGCAGGCGGACGCUGUAGCCAAGAGGGGAUUCGAGGGACAGGCCAUGAACAACAAGGAAAGACUGAAAAAGUGACACAGACCAGCAGCUAUGGAGACUUGAUGAUCAAACGUUAUGUGGAUCGUGGACGGGAUUCUGGAACAGAAAAAGAAAGGGUAUUACUGAAAUCUAAAUAAAGUCUGGAGGUGUAAAAUGAAGGAGCUGCCUUUCUUAAGCAUCUCUUCCCCAGGCUAGUAUUCCAGGCUCUACGUGUGCAACAGUCACCCCUAAAAGUGAAAUCCAUUCGCCCAGCCUGGAAAUGUGGUCACUUUAUAGAAAAUCUUUAGCUUGUACCAGCACAAAUGGAUGGGUCUUAUUUCCUGUCUACAGUUCAUGGUGUUGCAAAGGCAUUGCCAAAAACUAUUGACUGAGACAUAAAAGCAAGAAAUGGAUGGAAAUGAACGUGGGCACGUUCGCGUGUACAUUUACAAACACACAGAGCCGAACAUGAUCAAGUCUACACUUAAAGGAAGAGAUUCCCUGAAGGGACGUCCUAAUUCAUAACUCAGCCCCCUACCCUGCCCAUGUUCAGAAUCUAUCUCACGCUCUGGAGGAGGGAGAAGAGGGUAGGACCAGGCAAUGUGGUUUAGAUACUGGGGAAGGAACUCGGUCCCCAGUAAGUCUCCCUGAUCCCUGUGCCAUGAUGCUGGAAAUUACAUCCUUAACGAUCCGUCCAUCUUGUAAUUUCAGAAGUAGAGAAAAACAUUCAGAAUCCUCUGCGAUUCUUUUUUUACUAAAAUGAUACUUCCUGAAAACGACUGCACCUUGCCUUUUAAGAACGAGCUUUGGGGUACGUGUAAUGCCGUAUACGAUUUUCACAGAUUUCUGAGGGAACUGUUAGCACCCCCAUUUUACUGAUGAUGAAGCUGGGGUCCUCAAGGAUGAGGUGAGGCAUUCGACAUCACCCAGUUAGGAAAUGGGGCACUGGGGACCCCAGCACACUCUUGAAUUCAGUCCUGAUGUUCUUUCCACUCGGCCACAUUGCCACCUGGCAGUACCCUGAAGCAGAGGGGCAAUCACCCUCAGGAACUCAGCUUCCUUCUGAUUACAAGGUUUGUAAUCUGUGGGAAAAGAGACGGAGCCCGAGAGGCAGGGACCCGGAGGCACGGAUGGAGCCGCGGGACUCACAACAGUGAGCAGCAGUGGGGGCGCGCCUGUCACUCACUUUCCUCACCGGAUCUGGAGAGCCCAGUACGUGCUCAACAACACCCAAUCUCCCUGGACACCGA